rnacentral:misc_RNA from 1 species
CUGAUUCAGGGGGAGAGCGUGCGUGCGUGCGCGCCGCGCCACCCCAACCAAUCUUUUGUGCACGGUUUCACGGUCAACGAGAGACGCCGCGCGUGUGUUGGCAAGUCAAGUCGUCCCCGAUGGGGGUGACGGCGGCGCUUGCCAACCGCAUGCGUCUGUGCGCGCGCUCUCUGUUUGCAAUCUCUUGUGCAAUCUCUGUCUAACACACGUUACCUCUAAAAUAUAUCAACA